GUUAAUUACAAACAUUUUCGUUUUAAUAAUCUCUUGGUAAAAGCCCAGCUUCUCAAAGCUCAUUUCUUCCACAAACCUAUUUCAUUUUGUUUCAAGCCGCCGCUCCUUUUCAUCCUUCAACAUAUUUUCUUUUGUUUCUCAUCCUUUCUCUCUCCUCAUUUUUUGGCACUCCUUCCUCUCUCUCCCCAAAAAUGGCGAUCCUCCACCUCAAAUCCAACUGUUUUGAAGAUCCGAGCAAAAAUGGCAAAAACACUAAGAAGAAAUCACCUUUCCCUAUCACCUCUUCUCUAACACAGAAGAAGAUUUGUUCAAAAAAUGGCGAGUUUUCGUCGAUUGGACUUGAUCUGUAAUUUGAAGUUGGAGAGGAAGGCAUUGAAGAGGCGUUGGGCGAGGCGCUGAAGAGGCGAUGGGCGAGGCGCUGAAGAGGCGAUGGGCGAGUGAUUGGUCAGGUUUCGUGAGAAAAGUAUAAUUACGUGUGUGGGAGCGACUUAGCCUGAGAAUGAAUUUUCAGUGCGGUAGGGUUUUUUCGAGAAUGGCGUUCUUCUGGAGAAUUUUUCAGGCUUUUUGGUUUACUGGAGAAAUUUUCAGAAUUUUUGGUUUCCUUGUGAUUUUGUUUCCUGAUUUGUAAUAAUUUUCAAUUGUAAUAAUGUGUAGUAUUUUCCUUCCUUAAUUUUCAUUUUCUUUCCUGA